rnacentral:lncRNA from 1 species
GUUCAACACCAAACUUUCAACUUUCACCAACCGUUCAACUUUCAUCAAUCAUCCUCUAUAUAAACAUAUGUCCAAUAUUUGUUGAUCACACAACCUUUCAACCUUCAAUCAUCCUCUAUAUUCACCAAUCUUUCAAUUUUUAAAGACUUUUUGUUUCCUAAAAAUCCUCAAUAUCUCAUCAAUGGGUGAUAGAAGAAGGCGUAGCAUGGCAAUGCAAAUGGCACAAUACCAAGCAAGGAUCGAGAUUGAGGAUGCAGAAUUGUUCAAC